rnacentral:rRNA from 1 species
CCUACGGGAGGCAGCAGUGAGGAAUAUUGGUCAAUGGCCGAGAGGCUGAACCAGCCAAGUCGCGUGAGGGAAGACGGCCCUACGGGUUGUAAACCUCUUUUGUCGGGGAGCAAAGCGAACCACGUGUGGUUCAUUGAGAGUACCCGAAGAAAAAGCAUCGGCUAACUCCGUGCCAGCAGCCGCGGUAAUACGUAGGUGGCAAGCGUUGUCCGGAUUUACUGGGUGUAAAGGGCGUGUAGCCGGGCUGACAAGUCAGAUGUGAAAUUCCGGGGCUCAACCCCGGACCUGCAUUUGAAACUGUUGGUCUUGAGUAUCGGAGAGGCAGGCGGAAUUCCUAGUGUAGCGGUGAAAUGCGUAGAUAUUAGGAGGAACACCAGUGGCGAAGGCGGCCUGCUGGACGACAACUGACGGUGAGGCGCGAAAGCGUGGGGAGCAAACAGGAUUAGAUACCCGGGUAGUC